CUGGAGCUUUGUAAGCUGCUGAGAACAAGAUGAGCUUUUUCUGUGCGUCAGGGAGAUCCCAGCGUUUGGGAAGCAGAUGCGGGAUGAAGCAAGGGCCAUGGGGAGACCACGAGGAGCCCGAGGUGUCUGUGGAGGUGCUGGCGGCUCCGGUGAAGGGAUGUGGGUCCUAGUGGAUCAGAGCUACUCUGACAGCCUCGUUUUAGCGCCGUCCCCGUCAAGGCCCCUCUGCCGGUGCGGGUGGUGCAGGCUGACUGCACUGUGACCGUAGGAUCGGCGGUCACCCAAAGGGGCUGCCCGCUGACGUCCACGCAAAUCCCCGGGUUUACACGGAGGUCCACAGCAGCCCGGCCUGUAAGUGCCAAGACUCGGAAGCAUCCAGGACAUCCUUCCGUGGGUGAUGGACCGAUGAUCUGCGGUUCGUGCAAUGAGGUACUAUUCUCCUGCACGCACACCGAUCGGGCCACAAGGCAGGAGGACACCCGGGACCUCAAGUGCCCAUCGCGGGGGGAGGUCUCAUGCCAUGGCCUGUGCUUGCAGGACACGUAGGAAAGCCGC
rnacentral:lncRNA from 1 species